rnacentral:snoRNA from 1 species
UUGCAGCCAGUUAAGCCUACUGUGCUCUUUUCUCCAUGGGGGCCUGGUGUGCAAUGGCUGCAAACCGCAGCCUCCUCGGUAGUGUACGCAGCCUGUUGCCUGUACCGCUUGCCCCAAGGGAACUUGGAGACAGCU